rnacentral:lncRNA from 1 species
CUCCAUAGUUCAUAGACUGGUUUCAAACUUUGGUCCUCCUGUAGCUCAACACAUCCACAUGCCCCAUCUCCAUUCAACCACAAGUAUAAUAGAUUUCUGGCAAGUCUUCAUAGAUGAAUUAUUGCCAGAUAAUCUCAUCAUUAACCCUCACCUUAGUACACGGGCAGAUGGUCUAAGAGGUAUCAAUCAAAAUACAAGCCCUGGUAUAACCCAUUGUAGAGGAGGCAUCAGACCACUCAUCCAAGAACAACGGUCUUCCAGCCACAACCACGAUCUUCAAUUUUUUCUCCCUCUCCCAUAGUUCCAAAGGCAGAUCUAGAAGCCUGACCCACACCCUUGCCUAUCGG